CUAGGAAAAUUUUUGUCGUCCAUUUUUGGUGAUGCACGUGCGCACUGUAGCCUAAUUUCUUCUGUUUUUAGCUGAUGGGACUGGAACCUGGUGUGGUCUUCUGCUGCUGUAGCCCAUCCACUUCAUAUUAUGGUCAAAGUCACUUAGGGAGUGCAACCCAGUACUCAAAAAAUGCAACUUCUUUUCCUCUACUACCACCUCAUGUCUUCCAUGCCCUGGAAACCUAUCUUUGUGACCUUCUUCCCUCCAGUGCUCCAAUAUUGGAUGAGCCAGGCGAAGCGGCUUCAACCUCGGCUCCUCGACCUCCUGGCAAAGGUUACAUCAGCUCUGUAUUACAGUGGCGGUUGUGAUGGCAGUUGUAAAGGCUUGAGAGAUGACGAGAUAAUAAGAGUGAAUGACACGUGAUCUUCAUGUGGCUGGCUCGUACUCUAACACGUCGGCAUGUUCCUGCAUGCACACCUGUCAGCAUUGUGGGUGUCUACAGCACUCGGUUACCUCCUUUCUUUGUCCUCAGGUGCCAAGGCAAUGGUGGUCAAUGGUCUGGAACUGUACCGAAAUUACCCUGGAUCAGGACAAACUGGGGCUGAUUAAGACGAAGGUUGCUCUCACACAAUGCUGCCACAGGAGAUGUACUGACCUACAAGGAGGACUGUGAGCUUUAGUGGCACUGUCUACUGAUAAGAAAACUCACUUAUAAGAA